AGCGAACGCUGGCGGCAGGCCUAACACAUGCAAGUCGAACGAACUCUUCGGAGUUAGUGGCGGACGGGUGAGUAACACGUGGGAACGUGCCUUUUGGUUCGGAAUAACUCAGGGAAACUUGUGCUAAUACCGAAUGUGCCCUUCGGGGGAAAGAUUUAUCGCCAUUAGAGCGGCCCGCGUCUGAUUAGCUAGUUGGUGAGGUAACGGCUCACCAAGGCGACGAUCAGUAGCUGGUCUGAGAGGAUGACCAGCCACACUGGGACUGAGACACGGCCCAGACUCAGACGGGGGGCAGUAGGGAGACAUGGGGAGGAGCGGGCGAACGACGGACGCCGCCAGGGUGAUAGAAUGAUGAAGGGUGUAGGAUUUGAAAAUUCUAUGCCCGGGAACGAUAACGGCGCUACGGGGGGAAGAAGCGCCGGCUAACGCCGGGCAAGCAGCGGGGGUAAUAGAUAGGAAAAAACACGUCUGAAC
rnacentral:rRNA from 1 species